GCCUGAGUGGCUCAGUUGGUUGAGCGUCUGACUUCAGCUCAGGUCAUGAUCGCAACAGUUCAUGAGUUCGAGCCCCGCGUCGGGCU
rnacentral:tRNA from 1 species